CUCAAUGCCAUUCAGACAGGAGCUGUUUAUAGAUGGUGACUCCUUCAGGUAACUGCUUGCAGAAGUGAAUGCUUGGGAGAGUUCGGUUUUUGAGCAGAAGAAGAGAAGAAUUUUGUGUCUGGCCUGGGAGAGAGAUGGUGGAGGGCGGAUAAAGAAAAUAGAAGGGGAAGGCAUAAAGUCCCAUCUAUUUUGCUCCCCCUCCCCACCCCCCAACACUCAUACAGGUUCACACUGGCUGGAGGGGUUUCUCCAGAGCCC
rnacentral:lncRNA from 1 species